UACGGGGGGGGUAAGCGUUGUUCGGAAUUACUGGGCGUAAAGGGCUCGUAGGCGGCCAACUAAGUCAUACGUGAAAUCCCUCAGCUUAACUGGGGAACUGCGUGUGAUACUGGAUGGCUUGGAUUUGGGAGAGGGAUGCGGAAUUCCAGGUGUAGCGGUGAAAUGCGUAGAUAUCUGGAGGAACACCGGUGGCGAAGGCGGCAUCCUGGACCGAGAUUGACACUGAGGCGCGAAAGCCAGGGGAGCAAACGGG
rnacentral:rRNA from 1 species